CACGUAGGGGGCGAGCGUUGUCCGGAUUUAUUGGGCGUAAAGAGCUCGUAGGCGGCUCGGUAAGUCGGGUGUGAAACCUCCAGGCUCAACCUGGAGACGCCACCUGAUACUGCUGUGGCUAGAGUCCGGUAGGGGAGUGUGGAACUCCUGGUGUAGCGGUGAAAUGCGCAGAUAUCAUCAGGAACUCCGGUGGCGAAGGCGGCUCGCUGGACCUCUUCUGACGCUGAGGCGCGAAAGCUAGGAGAGCAAACGGG
rnacentral:rRNA from 1 species